UCCGAGUUGACCCCGGCAGUCUCCUAUGAGUCCCCACCAUAACGUGCUGGCAACAUAGGGCAAGGGUUGCGCUCGUUGCGGGACUUAACCCAACAUCUCACGACACGAGCUGACGACAGCCAUGCGCCACCUGUGUAGGACCCUUACGGACACCGUAUCUCUACGGCUUUUCCCUACAUGUCAAACCCAGGUAAGGUUCUUCGCGUUGCCUCGAAUUAAGCAACAUGCUCCGCCGCUUGUGCGGGCCCCGUCAAUUCCUUUGAGUUUUAGCCUUGCGGCCGUACUCCCCAGGCGAGGCACUUAAUGCGUUAGCUGCGGCACGGAACCCGUUGAUAAGGCCCCACACCUAGUGCCCAACGUUUACGGCGUGGACUAC
rnacentral:misc_RNA from 1 species